AAAAAGGCCCUUUUAAGGGCCACCACAUUAUAUAAAAGUCAAAGGUU
rfam:Nematostella vectensis strain CH2 x CH6 NEMVEscaffold_84_Cont11325, whole genome shotgun sequence.